CUUUAAGGAUCCUGAAGGAACGUUGAAGACGACGACGUUGAUAGGCUGGGUGUGUAAGCGCAGCGAUGCGUUGAGCUAACCGGUACUAAUGAACCGUGAGGCUUAACCUUACAACGCCGAAGGUGUUU
rnacentral:rRNA from 1 species